GCUUAACGCGAAGAACCUUACCCAGGCUUGGCAUGCAGAGGACAGCGCCAGAAAUGGCGAAUCCCUUCGGGGUCUCUGCACAGGUGCUGCAUGGCUGUCGUCAGCUCGUGCCGUGAGGUGUUGGGUUAAGUCCCGCAACGAGCGCAACCCUUAUCAUUAGUUGCCAACACGUAAAGGUGGGAACUCUAGCGAGACUGCCUGGGUUAACCAGGAGGAAGGUGAGGAUGACGUCAAGUCCGCAUGGCCCUUAUGUCUGGGGCUACACACGUGCUACAAUGGACGGUACAGAAGGCAGCAAAACCGUGAGGUGAAGCAAAUCCCGAAAGCCGUCCUCAGUUCAGAUUGUAGUCUGCAACUCGACUACAUGAAGACGGAAUUGCUAGUAAUGGCGAGUCAGCUACAUCGCCGUGAAUACGUUCCCGGGUCUUGUACACACCGGGGUCUUGUACACACCGGG
rnacentral:rRNA from 1 species